GAGGCUCAGUGGUAGAGCCUUUUCCUUGCAUGCAGAAGGUCAUGGGUUCAAUAUCUAGCAUCUCCA